rnacentral:rRNA from 1 species
GACGAACGCUGGCGGCGUGCCUAAUACAUGCAAGUUGAGCGAUGAAGACUGGUGCUUGCACCAAUUUGAAGAGCAGCGAACGGGUGAGUAACGCGUGGGGAAUCUGCCUUUGAGCGGGGGACAACAUUUGGAAACGAAUGCUAAUACCGCAUAACAACUUUAAACAUAAGUUUUAAGUUUGAAAGAUGCAAUUGCAUCACUCAAAGAUGAUCCCGCGUUGUAUUAGCUAGUUGGUGAGGUAAAGGCUCACCAAGGCGAUGAUACAUAGCCGACCUGAGAGGGUGAUCGGCCACAUUGGGACUGAGACACGGCCCAAACUCCUACGGGAGGCAGCAGUAGGGAAUCUUCGGCAAUGGACGAAAGUCUGACCGAGCAACGCCGCGUGAGUGAAGAAGGUUUUCGGAUCGUAAAACUCUGUUGGUAGAGAAGAACGUUGGUGAGAGUGGAAAGCUCAUCAAGUGACGGUAACUACCCAGAAAGGGACGGCUAACUACGUG